UUUCCCAUUGCUCAUCAACUGUGCAGUGUAUGAUAUAAAAAAUGUAUAGCUCUGAGUCUCUUACUUUUAUCCAAUGUAAAAAAAUACCAUUUCAAAUUUCCUGCAUAGGACCGAAUCUAAGUGCUCCAGAUGACAAAACCUGCACACAGUCCAAGGGUUGCAGGUCUGCCGACUUCCUUCUGGUCACACAUUGUAGUCAGAGAAAUAUCCAAUAAACCAAAGACAUUGCUUUAAGUGUGAAUGUACUUUAUUACAGAUAUUUUCCUCAAAUAAAAUAAACAAGUUAUUACAACUGA